rnacentral:rRNA from 1 species
GACGAACGCUGGCGGCGUGCCUAAUACAUGCAAGUAGAACGCUGAAGGAGGAGCUUGCUCUUCUGGAUGAGUUGCGAGCGGGUGAGUAACGCGUAGGUAACCUGCCUGGUAGCGGGGGAUAACUAUUGGAAACGAUAGCUAAUACCGCAUAAUAGUAGAUGUUGCAUGAUAUUUACUUAAAAGGUGCAAUUGCACCACUACCAGAUGGACCUGCGUUGUAUUAGCUAGUUGGUGGGGUAACGGCUCACCAAGGCGACGAUACAUAGCCGACCUGAGAGGGUGAUCGGCCACACUGGGACUGGGACACGGCCCAGACUCCUACGGGAGGCAGCAGUAGGGAAUCUUCGGCAAUGGACGAAAGUCUGACCGAGCAACGCCGCGUGAGUGAAGAAGGUUUUCGGAUCGUAAAGCUCUGUUGUAAGAGAAGAACGAGUGUGAGAGUGGAAAGUUCACACUGUGACGGUAUCUUACCAGAAAGGGACGGCUAACUACGUG